AACAGGAUUAGAUACCCUGGUAGUCCACGCCGUAAACGAUGUCGACUUGGAGGUUGUGCCCUUGAGGCGUGGCUUCCGGAGCUAACGCGUUAAGUCGACCGCCUGGGGAGUACGGCCGCAAGGUUAAAACUCAAAUGAAUUGACGGGGGCCCGCACAAGCGGUGGAGCAUGUGGUUUAAUUCGAUGCAACGCGAAGAACCUUACCUACUCUUGACAUCCAGAGAACUUAGCAGAGAUGCUUUGGUGCCUUCGGGAACUCUGAGACAGGUGCUGCAUGGCUGUCGUCAGCUCGUGUUGUGAAAUGUUGGGUUAAGUCCCGCAACGAGCGCAACCCUUAUCCUUUGUUGCCAGCGGUCCGGCCGGGAACUCAAAGGAGACUGCCAGUGAUAAACUGGAGGAAGGUGGGGAUGACGUCAAGUCAUCAUGGCCCUUACGAGUAGGGCUACACACGUGCUACAAUGGCAUAUACAAAGAGAAGCGACCUCGCGAGAGCAAGCGGACCUCAUAAAGUAUGUCGUAGUCCGGAUUGGAGUCUGCAACUCGACUCCAUGAAAUCGGAAUCGCUAGUAAUCGUGGAUCAGAAUGCCACGGUGAAUACGUUCCCGGGCCUUGUACACACCGCCCGUCACACCAUGGGAGUGGGUUGCAAAAGAAGUAGGUAGCUUAACCUUCGGGAGGGCGCUUACCACUUUGUGAUUCAUGACUGGGGUGAAGUCGUAACAAGGUAACC
rnacentral:rRNA from 1 species